UGUUGGGUGCGGUUGGGGCUAGGAUGCCAUCUCCCAUUCAAUGUGGAUCGAGAUCUGAACUAAACGCAACCCAAUUUUGGGUUUCUCUUCAAAGCCAGCUGGUCUGGCUUGAUUUUCUUUAGCCUUUUUUGACAUAUUAACAAUCUUUUUUCUUUUUUUACAAAGACUGGCCCACAGCAGGUGCUGGAGGGUUGAGCUUCCUGGAGAAGAAUGUUAUCGGACUGGUGCCAAACGAAGGACCUGAAAGCCUAAAAACCAAUUUGAUGGAGACACAAAAGCAGUGAGGAUUCAGAGGGAGAAGAUAGUGAAGUUGAAACAGGUUUUGAGCAAGUGAUUGGAACGAAUGCCAGAGUCUUUG